UACGAAGGGGGCUAGCGUUGUUCGGAAUUACUGGGCGUAAAGCGCGCGCAGGCGGUCUUCCAAGUCAGUGGUGAAAGCCCGGAGCUCAACUCCGGAACUGCCAUUGAAACUGUUAGACUUGAGGAUGAGAGAGGUGAGUGGAAUUCCCAGUGUAGAGGUGAAAAUUCGUAGAUAUUGGGAAGAACACCGGUGGCGAAGGCGGCGACCUGGUCCGUGACUGACGCUGAGGCGCGAAAGCGUGGGGAGCAAACAGG
rnacentral:rRNA from 1 species